GGCAGUGUGGUGUAGUGGUUUGAGUGUGGGGCUAGGACUCAGGAGACCAGGGUUGGAAUCCCUGCUUGGUCA